rnacentral:ribozyme from 1 species
AAAGAAGAGUAUUAUCGAAGAGGAGAUAGAAGAGAGAGAGAAAUGGCUGACAUACUUUGCUUGUCGUCACUGUUUUUUCUUUUUCCUGCUGUUUUGCUAUCACUCUCAA